CCAGCACGAAUCGCUGAGAUUGGAGCCUC
rnacentral:sRNA from 1 species